AGGACGAACGCUGGCGGCGUGCUUAACACAUGCAAGUCGAACGAGGUGCUUGCACCUAGUGGCGAACGGGUGAGUAACACGUGAGCAACCUGCCCUUGGCUCUGGGAUAGCCUCCGGAAACGGGGAUUAAUACCGGACAUGACCUUGGUCUGCAUGGACUGAGGUGGAAAGUUUUUCGGCCAGGGAUGGGCUCGCGGCCUAUCAGCUUGUUGGGGGGGUAACGCCCACCAAGGCGACGAC
rnacentral:rRNA from 1 species